rnacentral:lncRNA from 1 species
CCAUAAAAUCUGCAUUUGUGUAUUCUUUAGCACAGAACACUUCUGAUCUAUAGUAUACUCUUUAUGGGAACUAGAAAUAGGUGAUCUCAGAACCAGAGAGAACUCUGAUUUCGAGAUAGGGAGUUGGCAUCAGUGAGGACCCACCACUGCAAAGUAGCACAGUACAUCCUUCUAACCUCUAGGCUCAAGUCUUGAAUCAUGAAGAAUAAAAAAGAAAGAUAUGGCAGGAAAAAGAGGAUGUGAAAGAGACAGGUUGAUCAUUGUGCAAUGCAUGAUGUACGGAUCAUAUGGGCUUCUUGUUGUGCAGUGUAUAUAUUCUCCACCCAUUUCUGUAAUUUUCCCAAACCAGCUCUGUGAAGGACUUUUCAUCCAUGGCUGGUUGAAUCUGAGUCCGCAGAUGUGGAACCCAUGGAUACAGAGGGCUGACUGUAUUAUAACCCUGAAUGAUAUAAAGUGCUACCUGUCCCAGGAGAACUUGAGAACUAAUUCUGCUGUUUGCUGGGUGUCAUUCCUGCCACAGUGA